rnacentral:rRNA from 1 species
GAUGAACGCUAGCUACAGGCUUAACACAUGCAAGUCGAGGGGAAACGACAGGGAGUGCUUGCACACUCUGGGCGUCGACCGGCGCACGGGUGAGUAACGCGUAUCCAACCUGCCCACCACUUGGGAAUAACCUUGCGAAAGUAAGACUAAUGCCCAAUGAUAUUGAGUGCAGACAUCUAAUCUCAAUUAAAGAUUUAUCGGUGAUGGAUGGGGAUGCGUCCGAUUAGCUUGUUGGCGGGGUAACGGCCCACCAAGGCAACGAUCGGUAGGGGUUCUGAGAGGAAGGUCCCCCCACAUUGGAACUGAGACACGGUCCAAACUCCUACGGGAGGCAGCAGUGAGGAAUAUUGGUCAAUGGGCGAGAGCCUGAACCAGCCAAGUAGCGUGCAGGAUGACGGCCCUAUGGGUUGUAAACUGCUUUUANAAGGGAAUAAAGUGGGGCUCGUGAGCUCUUUUGCAUGUACCUUAUGAAUAAGGACCGGCUAAAUUCCGUGCCAGCAG